UACAGAGGGUGCGAGCGUUAAUCGGAAUUACUGGGCGUAAAGCGCACGUAGGUGGCUUUGCAAGUCGAUUGUGAAAUCCCCGGGCUUAACCUGGGAACUGCAGUCGAGACUGCUCUGCUUGAGUAUGGGAGAGGGAGGUGGAAUUUCCGGUGUAGCGGUGAAAUGCGUAGAUAUCGGAAGGAACAUCAGUGGCGAAGGCGACCGCCUGGACCAAUACUGACACUCAAGUGCGAAAGCGUGGGGAGCAAACAGG
rnacentral:rRNA from 1 species